AAAGCUCAAAUUUGAAAUCUGGCAGUUCUCUUGACUGUCCGAGUUGUAAUCUAGAGAAGUGUUACCUGUGCUGGACCGUGUACAAGUCUUCUGGAAUGGAGCAUCAUAGAGGGUGAGAAUCCCGUCUUUGACAUGGACUACCAGUGCGCUGUGGUGCGCUCUCAAAGAGUCGAGUUGUUUGGGAAUGCAGCUCAAAAUGGGUGGUAAAUGCCAUCUAAAGCUAAAUAUUGGCGAGAGACCGAUAGCGAA
rnacentral:rRNA from 1 species